rnacentral:rRNA from 1 species
GAUGAACGCUGGCGGCGUGCCUAAUACAUGCAAGUCGAGCGAACAGACGAGGAGCUUGUUCCUCUGACGUUAGCGGCGGACGGGUGAGUAACACGUGGAUAACCUACCUAUAAGACUGGGAUAACUUCGGGAAACCGGAGCUAAUACCGGAUAAUAUAUUGAACCGCAUGGUUCAAUAGUGAAAGACGGUUUUGCUGUCACUUAUAGAUGGAUCCGCGCCGCAUUAGCUAGUUGGUAAGGUAACGGCUUACCAAGGCAACGAUGCGUAGCCGACCUGAGAGGGUGAUCGGCCACACUGGAACUGAGACACGGUCCAGACCCCUACGGGAGGCAGCAGUAGGGAAUCUUCCGCAAUGGGCGAAAGCUUGACGGAGCAACGCCGCGUGAGUGAUGAAGGUCUUCGGAUCGUAAAACUCUGUUAUUAGGGAAGAACAAAUGUGUAAGUAACUAUGCACGUCUUGACGGUACCUAAUCAGAAAGCCACGGCUAACUACGUG